rnacentral:rRNA from 1 species
GUGCUAAGGUAGCAUAAUCAUUUGUCUUUUAAAUGAAGACUAGUACAAAAGAUUAAACAUUUUAAUAAUUAUAUAUAAACUAACAAUCAAAAUUAUUUUUAAUGUUAAAAAACAUUAAUUUAAUAGAAAGACGACAAGACCCUGUUGAACUUAACUAAAGUUAAACUGGGGCAGUAAAUUAAUUAUCAUUUUAAUAAAACUUUUUAUUAAAAAAUCCAAUAUAAUUGAUAAUAAGUUACCACAGGGAUAACAGCAUAAUAUUAAUUUAAAGUUCUUAUACAAAUAAAAGAUUAUGACCUCGAUGUUGAAUUAAUAAUCUAUUUUAUGUAAAAAUAAAAUAAGAAAGUCUGUUCGACUUUUAAACAAUUACAUGAUUUGAGUUCAGACCGGUACAAGCCAGGUCGGUUUCCAUCUUCUACUUAAUUUAUAUAGUACGAAAGGACCUAUAAAUAUAAUAUCAUUAUUAAUUUGGCAGAAUAUUGCAUUAGAAUUAGAAUCUAAAAACCCAAUAAUA